rnacentral:lncRNA from 1 species
CCAUGCAUGGCCCAUGACUGCAGACAAGUUAUUGUGUGGUCUUCUCCUGCAUGCUCUCACAGGCAUGUAGCAAAUGUCUCCUGAAGGGAGCUCCUUAGGACUGGUCUGCCUCGGGUUGCUCUCUGUAGUGGAAGCAAUUUGAAAAGACAGUGUUUUUGGAAAGAAAGACACAAAAGCCGAAAGCAGCCCAGGCUCCCUGGUGGUGUCUCAUCAUGAAAUUCACCUGGCAAAGGACAAAGAGUGUGAUGGGAGUUUGGUUUGGGACAUCUUUAUUUUAAUCAGCAAAGGGGCAGGGAAGGGGUCUGUAUUCCCAGGCAAUCUUACUCCCAAGGGCUUAUUCUCAGGAGUGUGGUGUCUGACGGCAAAACAGCAGCAACUUCUUACAAUUCAGAGGCUGCUGUGUGAACAGAUGUGUGGGGAGCCAGCUUGCCAUUGGACUUGGGAUGCAGCAGAUUUGAGGUCUAGAGGAUGGUUCUGGGACCACAGAGAUCGCACGCAACACAGACACCCUCAGUGGCACUGCUUGGUGACAGAAGACGUUCACAGACUCUUCUAGAUACAGAAGGUCAAUGGGCAAAUGGCAAAACACCAGAAAGGCCAAAGAAUGAAGGGGGCAUCAGCCUGGGAGGACUUUUGUUUUUCAUGAAGCUGUGUUUCUGGUAGUGAAAGCACAACAUUUAUGAUGUGUGUAGGACUAAGAUUAGUGUGGGAUUUUCAGAACUGGUGGAGUGCCCCACCUGACCUCUGUUGGAUAUUCAGAAUGAGGUAGGUGGAGAUUGUUUUUCAUAGGUCCUGACCUAUAUCUGAAAGGUCCCUGAGGAUGCUAACGAUACCCUAGGAAGUCUAAACUGGGUUAUGCUUAAGCAUUUGGCUCCUGCCUGUGUUUUAAGACAGUGUCUCCGUGACUAUCUUGUUUCAGGUCCUGCUGGAUAAUAGAGACAGGUCAAUAGCUAGAGAAGAAAUCUUUGGCCAGAAACCUAAAAUACUCUUGUGACAGGAGUAU